GAAGAUGGACAUACGCCACCUAUUCAUUACGAUUUACAGUUGGAUCACAAUGGGGAACAUUCCGGAAAGAACAUUAACGACAGACAUGGAUUCCACGAGACUGUCAGAGUCUCUUCUAAUUCUUUCCUACACUGACCGCAGAGUGGCUGAGACGUGGGUGAGCCCAGGAGGCAGUGGAGAUGAAGCAGGAGCAGGGGCGGAGGCGCCGGACCUCAUGGGGGCCCAGCAGCGGGCAUGAGGCCCCCGGAGGGAGCAGCUGCCCCAUGGGGUCUGCAGCCCGGACCCUCCUCCUUCCACGGCCGCCUCUGCUCUUCUGGCUCCGGGUGAGGACGGCUUCCGCCCUCUGCCUACAGCCGCUCCUCCCCUGGUGCGGCGUCUACCCCUCUGUCAAGGGUUCUCUCGGGUCCUUCCCUUCGACGGACCGCAGGACAAGCAGGUCCCUCCAAGUUGAAGCAAAUGGUGGGUAUUUGGACGACGCUCUUCCUACGGCUGCAGUUGGAGGUGCUUCUCCUGUGUUUGCAUAAAGAGUGCAAAAAUGACAUCUUCUGCACAAAGACUUCUUGUUUCUCCCUGGUGGACGUCUCUCUGGGGCACGAACUGUUGAAUGGGGGAGCAUGGAUUCUUGGGGGGGACUCACGAUAUGUCAUAAGAGAUCUCACUUUGCUGCUUAUUUUAUUGUUUCUGGUAUCAUGUGGUUAAUACUUCCCACCAGUAAAAAAUUAUAAUAAUAAAAUUAAAAAAUAAAUAAAUAAAUAAAUAAACAAAAAAAUAAUAAUUCUCA